rnacentral:tRNA from 1 species
GGAGGGGUGGCAGAGCGGUCGAAUGCGACGGUCUUGAAAACCGUUGCCGGGCAACCCCCGGCCGAGGGUUCGAAUCCCUCCCCCUCCG